rnacentral:pre_miRNA from 1 species
GGUUGCUUCAGUGAACAUUCAACGCUGUCGGUGAGUUUGGAAUUAAAAUAAAAACCAUCGACCGUUGAUUGUACCCUAUGGCUAACC